rnacentral:tRNA from 2 species
UGUCGUCUUCGGUGACGGGGCGGGCGCCGCCCUGGUCGCGGCCGGGCGCCGCGGCGAUCCCGGGGAGCUGCUCGCGUUCGACCUGGGCAGCGACGG